GACGAACGCUGGCGGCGUGCUUAACACAUGCAAGUCGAGCGGAGCGGCGAACGGGUGAGUAACGCGUGAGUAACUGCCCCCCUCCCUGGGAUAACAGUUGGAAACGGCUGCGAAUACUGGAUAGUGGGGGAUGACUCGCGGCCUAUGAGCUUGUUGGUGGGGGAGGGGCCUACCAAGGGGACGACGGGUAGCCGGCCUGAGAGGGGGACCGGCCACAUUGGGCUGGGAUACGGCCCAAACUCCUACGGGGGGCAGCAGUGGGGAAUGUUGCACAAUGGGGGAAACCCUGAUGCAGCGACGCCGCGUGCGGUAUGACGGCCUUCGGGUUGUAAACCGCUUUCGGCCAUGACGCGGUAGUGGCAGAAGAAGCACCGGCUAACUACGUGCCAGCAGCCGCGGUAAUAC
rnacentral:rRNA from 1 species